GAAUUUGGGACAUAGGAAGGUGAAUCCACAAUGAUGGGGGAGACAUGGCAAUGGGAGGCCAGAGAAAGAAGCUGAGAGAUCACAUCUUCAACAACAUGCAGAAAUCAGAGUGCAAGAACUGGAAAUGGGGGGAGUAUAUAACCCCCAGAGCCCACCCUCAGUUCUCCCAGGAAGACUCCCAUCCGUGACCUUCCCAGACUGUGCCACCAGCUGGAGGCAGAAUGCUGAAAUCUACAAACGAGUGGGGGACAUUUCUCAUUCAAACCACCAGAUACCAUACAAAGGCAAACCAAGGAGACCAACACCAGAAGGCCUGCUAACACUCCCAUGCCUGCCCAUUCCUUCAGAUGAUUCAUGGCUGCAGCAAUCCAUGAUGAUAAUCCUGUGGCUAGUCCUGCGUCCACUCUGGUAGAAUUUA